CCGCUCCAAGCCGGGGUGGCGGCCGCGGCCAAACCGAGCAGCCCUCGUGAGCAGCGCCCUCCCCCAACCCGGCGGCGGCGGCGGCGGCGGCGGCGGGAGGGAGUAGUGGUAGACUAGGCUGGACCGCCGGCCCAGGCGCCUGGUCGGCGGCGGGCUGGUGAAAUAGCCACCAAAAGACCUCUUGCCCGGCCUGUGGAGCAGGGGCUUGGCCCAGAGGAGCCAAGCCCCACAGACCUGAGGAUUCAGAGGCCCCCCUGAUACCUAGGAGCUUGCGGGCAGACUACCUGACAUCUCCCUGAACCCUGAACCCUUACUAGUUGCUCCUAGCCUUUUGCACCCCCUGGCAGAUCACCCCGCAGCCCCGCCCCCGGUCCUGCCCUCCUGGCACCCCACCCCGCCCCCCACUCCACCCUGGGCACAGAAGGGAACUGAAGUAUUGGGGCAGAGAAGGGGCUUAGGGCCUGAGGCACUGGCUGGGAGGAGGGCGAGGUGCUGAGGGCAGGGGUGUUGCUCAGCUGCGUCCUGCCCCUUUCCUAGGAGGCUGGAGGGGAGAGGCCAAGCCCCCUGCAAAAUGUAGCAGAUGUCUGGGUGUUGCAGAAGAGUGUGCAGGCACAGGCCCCCGAGAAUCCAGUGACCCCCACAGCCCAUUCCCCUGAUGAGGACACUGAGCCUGCCAGGAGGCAACUUGCCUGGGGCCACACAGCUGCUGAGAGGUGGGGCUCUAGUAGCGUCCCCCUGCUCCCCAGGGAUUGUCACCCCCCCAGACAGCUCCCCACAGAGGGGCCCCCAGGGCAGGAGCCUCAGCUGCACUGCAUCCCUAGGGCGGGGGAGUGAGUGCAGAGCCCAGGGAUGGCCCAGCUUCCCCUUAUGGCCGCACCUUUUCCAGACCCAGGAGACCUCUCAGGUCCUCACCACCUCGGCCCCGACACAGGGGCUUCUGGCAGGCAGGGAGGUGAUCUGUGCCAGGAGUUCCUCCUGGGUUUCUGCUGGAGUCGAACAUGUCAGCCUCAGGCUGACCCCACCCCCUGCCUCCCAAGUUUCUGGCACUGGAGUGUGCUGCUGUGGGUGUGAGAACGGGGGCGUGGGAAUGUGAGGGGUGAAUGUGUGAUAGGUGUGUGUGUGUGGUGUGAGCGCGAGUAGAGUGCACGUGUGUGCGUGGAGCCUUGUGUGUUGUGACUGCAUCCAGACACCUCCGCAACUCUGCCCGGCCCCAGGAUUCUCUCCAGGCGGCUGCCAGAGGGCGUCCAGGCCUGCAUUUCACCACACCCCUCAGGGAACCCGGCAGGGAGGCACCUGCAGGUUGGUUCAGGCUCUUAGGCAGCAACACAGACUCACCCAGCGCCCCCUCAUGACCCCUGCCCUCUCUGUGGAGGCCUGGGACCCCGCAAUAACCUCAGCAUGGGUGAGGCUGCUCCCUCUGCCUGGCAGUGCCCCAUCCACCAUCCCAGGCCACAUCUGUCAGGGUCCCUCCUGGGGUUCUAGGCCAUUUGAGGGUGCUCCCUGAUAGGCCAGGCUGGCUAGAGGGGGCCCUGACCACUCUCUGGCCCGGAGCCCCCACCUCUCUACUCGCCUCUCAUUCCCACCGCGCAAAAGGGCUAUAGGUCCCCCUGCCCUGCCCGGGCCCAGUUUACAAACUGUGCGGUUGUCCCAGAGCCUGGACCCCUCUCCUUGGAGUGCCCUCCCCUCUGGAGACCCCCCUCCCCAGGGGCAUUGGGGCUCUUCACACGCCAGGUAAGUAGCAAACCCCUCCUCCCACCAAGGGCCAAGUCUCUGCGAAGGCCCCCCAUCACUGCCCCAGGCUCCCCUGGAGCUCAUCCUGAGCCCAUCUGGGCGCCUCUCCCAGACGCGACUUCUUUUGCCUUAGGCCUCUCGACAUCCUAUCUCUCCUGCAAUAACAAGGAAGCGAGAUUCCAAGUAGACAUCCCUGGCCGCGCACCCUCUCUCUCUGUCUCUGUUAAGACCCUGUGUGGGAGUUUCUCCCUUGUCGUAGUAGCUAGGAUGUUAGAAUUGGGAAGGGCCCGUAGUUCUGUAGUCCAGCCCCUGUUGUCAGAGGCACAGAGGAGCAGCGACGGCCAACUAGAAGCAGGUCUGCUCCUUCGCUGUCUGGGCCCACUGCUGCUGCCUCACCUCUGCUGGUCGGGUUGGGACCCUUUGCCCCUUAGGAGAGGUGUUGGUCACAGAAGUUUACCUCAGUUUAUGUCACUGUCGAAGAAACAAGAAAUAAAUAGCAAAAAAUUAAUAACACUGUAAACAUGAAGACUUAGACGAUAAAAAUCUCACACAGAAAAACUCCCCCUUUGUGAUUCUCUGUGAAGGUGUGUGUGUGUGUGUGUGACGUUGUGUGUGUGUCCCACCCCGGGCAGGCCGGGUCAUCCCCAACCUCUGUUCCAGCCCUGUGCUCUCCACACUGCCCCCUGUCCUUUGGUGCUUCCCAGAGGCCCCGCUGAGCUGGCCUGUGGGGUAUAGGGAGCCCCCUGGGCAGGAGGCAUGGCCACAGGUUAACUAGAGGGUCUCCCACCGGGCCCACCGAUGCUCCCUGAGCCCACGCUGUGGCCGGUAGGACAGCCCUGGUGGCUGGCAUCAGAGUCCAAGCCCGGUUCAGGGCUUGGCUGGAAUCCCAGCCCCUCGUGUAUUGCCACCAUUCCCCACCAUGUGUUUGUAAAUACUCUGGCACCCUUUGGCCCUGAGAAGGUUUUUAAAUGUGUUAUUUACUUCUCUAAUGACAAUUGCUAUAAAAUAAACAAAAGUUUAGAAAAAUUA
rnacentral:lncRNA from 1 species